UUUGUAUCUCUAUUCUGGACACUGUAUGUUCGACAAAGUUGAGAAAAAAUGACCCUGUGGAGUGGUUGACAUUUUGCCCUCGCGACAUAUACUGUGGUCAGGUUGCAAACUUUUGGCACUCAUUUGUAAGUUGUAACGUCUUUCAUGCCAAACCUAUUGGUGUUGGAGCCUAGGAGGACACUCAUUGGUGCUGGAAUCGUAAUUUGGGUGGCCAGGCAAUGAGAUGGCCUAGCCAUUGUGGUUAAAAUCCAGCUAAAGAGAUUGAGUGAUAGUUAUCUACUUUUUACUCAUUUAUUUGUUGUCCCAUGUUCUGUCUUUUUAUUUUCUCAUAAAAUCAAAUCUAUAGCUAAUUGCACGACCUUGGAAUUCAAUUUGUUAAGUUACCUUUGCUUCAAAUCAAUAUUAAUUCAUGAAGAUUGAACCACAGGAUAAAUUCCAUACUCUGUUUUGUUGGUAGUGAUACUGACCUCUUAAAUUUGUGUUAUUCAGUUUGCAAAUCUAAUUGUAGAGUUAUUUUAAGUAGGUCCCCAUAACUGGUCUAAAGACACCAUUUCGGGAUGGGUUGCUCAAGCAUGUUGCCCAAGAUGUCGUAAAGUUGGCAAAGGAUGGCCUGGAAAGAAGAGGCUUUAAGGAAUCUGGGUUCUUGAAUGAGGUGGCCGAGGUUGUCAGAACAGGU